UCUCCGUUGGUGAACCAGCGGAGGGAUCAUUACCGAGUUUACAACUCCCAAACCCAAUGUGAACGUUACCAAACUGUUGCCUCGGCGGGAUCUCUGCCCCGGGUGCGUCGCAGCCCCGGACCAAGGCGCCCGCCGGAGGACCAACCAAAACUCUUUUGUAUACCCCCUCGCGGGUUUUUUUAUAUCUGAGCCAUCUCGGCGCCUCUCGUAGGCGUUUCGAAAAUGAAUCAAAACUUUCAACAACGGAUCUCUUGGUUCUGGCAUCGAUGAAGAACGCAGCGAAAUGCGAUAAGUAAUGUGAAUUGCAGAAUUCAGUGAAUCAUCGAAUCUUUGAACGCACAUUGCGCCCGCCAGUAUUCUGGCGGGCAUGCCUGUCCGAGCGUCAUUUCAACCCUCGAACCCCUCCGGGGGGUCGGCGUUGGGGAUCGGCCCUUUACGGGGCCGGCCCCGAAAUACAGUGGCGGUCUCGCCGCAGCCUCUCCUGCGCAGUAGUUUGCACACUCGCAUCGGGAGCGCGGCGCGUCCAUUGCCGUAAAACACCCAACUUUCUGAAAUGUUGACCUCGGAUCAGGUAGGAAUACCCGCUGAACUUAA
rnacentral:rRNA from 1 species